AGGAUGAAGUGAGCCAAGAUCACACCAGGGCACUCCAGCGUGGGAGACAGAGUCCAUGUCCAUCUCAGUCAACGAACCAAAUAUAUUAAGCUAUCCAGGUGAUUCUGAUGGAGGCUUGAAUUUGAACACCAUGUCUCCUGCAGGUCCAGACUCAGAGAUUUAAGUGGAUGACAAGUAUUUGUUCAGCACCUGCUGUGCAUUGUUUUAUGUACUGAAGAUACAGCAGCCCACCUGGAGCUGACAUUCUAGUGGGGAAAGAAAGUAAAAUUUCUCUAAAGGACGGCUAUUUCCUUGUUACUCAGAGCUGUGUCCAAGGAACAGCACCACCACCACCUGAGUAUUCCUGAGAAAGGCAGAAACCCACAUGUGCUGAAUGACAAUGUCCAUUUUCCAGAAGGUCCUCAACUAAUUCAUAAAAAUUUGGAUGCCCUGUUCUACAUUAAUGUGCUUCCACAUUUGUUUACCUUAAUUGCCCAUCUGGAACUUAGCCCGUUUCUUCCCAAUUAAGUCCCUGAAUUUAAUUCGGCAUUAUAAGCCAUAAUGUUUCUAAUAAACGUUUAAUCAGGUUAUACCUUCUCUAACUUCCUCUCCAAAAAUCACAUGACACUAUUCAAUUAUGUUAAUUUGGCCUAUAUAAUACUAUCUGAUGAAGUUAUAAUAUUUUCUAUAAAACUAAAUUAUGGCCAUACAAGGCUGACCAUUUAUGGUGAUAUUCAUCUAUGGUAGAUAAAACACAGGUCUGGGUGGUGAGGUACCUCAAUCCUUCAUGCCUCUCCAAUAGUCAGAAUGACAGAGCAGGAAGAUGUUACUCGUUCUCUGACACAUUUUGGUGCUGGAAGCUGACAUUACCUUCUUUCCUAUUUCUAUCACCCUGCUCUUCCUUCCACAAAUCAAUUUGACUUUACUACCCUCCUUUACAUA